GGCUGGAUAGCUCAGUUGGUCAGAGUGUGGUGCUGAGAACUCCAAGGUUGCAGGUUUGAUCCCCGUAUGGGGCA